rnacentral:rRNA from 1 species
UACAGAGGUCUCAAGCGUUGUUCGGAUUUACUGGGCGUAAAGGGCGCGCAGGCGGCGCAUUUUGUCAGGCGUGAAAGCCCCGGGCUUAACCUGGGAACUGCGUUUGAUACGGAUGGGCUAGAGUUCGGGAGAGGAGAGUGGAAUUCCCAGUGUAGAGGUGAAAUUCGUAGAUAUUGGGAAGAACACCGGUGGCGAAGGCGGCUCUCUGGACCGAGACUGACGCUGAGGCGCGAAAGCGUGGGGAGCAAACAGG